rnacentral:rRNA from 1 species
UCUAAAGGGUCCGUAGCCGGUUUGAUCAGUCUUUUGGGAAAUCUGACAGCUUAACUGUUAGGCUUCCAAAGGAUACUGUCAGACUUGGGACCGGGAGAGGUAAGAGGUACUACAGGGGUAGGAGUGAAAUCUUGUAAUCCCUGUGGGACCACCAGUGGCGAAGGCGUCUUACCAGAACGGGUCCGACGGUGAGGGACGAAAGCUGGGGGCACGAACCGGAUUAGAUACCCGGGUAGUCCCAGCCGUAAACGAUGCUCGCUAGGUGUCAGGAAUGGUGCGACCGUUUCUGGUGCCGUAGGGAAGCCGUGAAGCGAGCCACCUGGGAAGUACGGCCGCAAGGCUGAAACUUAAAGGAAUUGGCGGGGGAGCACUACAACGGGUGGAGCCUGCGGUUUAAUUGGACUCAACGCCGGAAAACUCACCGGGGGCGACAGCAAUAUGUAGGUCAGGCUAAAGACCUUACCCGAAUCGCUGAGAGGAGGUGCAUGGCCGUCGUCAGUUCGUACUGUGAAGCAUCCUGUUAAGUCAGGCAACGAGCGAGACCCGUGCCCACUGUUGCCAGCAUGUUCUUCGGAAUGAUGGGUACUCUGUGGGGACCGCCGCUGCUAAAGCGGAGGAAGGUGCGGGCUACGGUAGGUCAGUAUGCCCCGAAUCUCCCGGGCUACACGCGGGCUACAAUGAUUGGGACAAUGGGUCCCUACCCUGAAAAGGGAUGGUAAUCUCAUAAACCCAAUCGUAGUUCGAAUCGAGGACUGUAACUCGUCCUCGUGAAGCUGGAAUCCGUAGUAAUCGCGUUUCAACAUAGCGCGGUGAAUACGUCCCUGCUCCUUGCACACACCGCCCGUCAAACCACCCGAGUGAGGUAUGGGUGAGGGCACGGACAUGAGUGCCGUGUUCGAACCUAAAUUUCGCAAGGGGGGUUAAGUCGUAACAAGGUAACC